ACCAAGGUCUUAUGCAACCGAACGCUGCGAACCGUGUCAGGAUAGGGAUAUAGCAGCACUAAACAGUUCCGUCGGUGUGCCAUAAGGUAGCUUUGGAGUA
rnacentral:SRP_RNA from 1 species